AGUGGCAAACGGGUGAGUAACGCGUGGAAAUCUACCUUUUGGAGUGGGAUAACCGAGGGAAACUUCGGCUAAUACCGCAUAAGCUUGGAAACAAGGAAAGAUUUAUCGCCAAAAGAUGAGUCCGCGUCAGAUUAGGUAGUUGGUGGGGUAAAGGCCUACCAAGCCUGUGAUCUGUAGCUGGUCUGAGAGGAUGAUCAGCCACACUGGGAUUGAGAUACGGCCCAGACUCCUACGGGAGGCAGCAGUGAGGAAUAUUGGACAAUGGGGGAAACCCUGAUCCAGCAAUGUCGCGUGAAUGAAGAAGGCCUAGGGUUGUAAAAUUCUUUCACUCAUGAAGAUAAUGACGGUAAUGAGAGAAGAAGCUCCGGCUAACUCUGUGCCAGCAGCCGCGGUAAUACAGAGGGAGCAAGCGUUGUUCGGAAUGACUGGGCGUAAAGGGUGCGUAGGCGGUCUUUUAAGCAAGGUGUUAAAGCCCCGGGCUCAACCCGGGAAUCGCGCUUUGAACUGGAGGACUAGAGUACGAGAGAGGAAAGUGGAAUUCCUAGUGUAGAGGUGAAAUUCGUAGAUAUUAGGAGGAAUACCAAAAGCGAAGGCAGCUUUCUGGAUCGUCACUGACGCUGAGGCACGAAAGCGUGGGGAGCAAACAGGAUUAGAUACCCUGGUAGUCCACGCCCUAAACGAUGAGUACUAGACGUUGGGA
rnacentral:rRNA from 1 species